rnacentral:rRNA from 1 species
AGAGUUUGAUCCUGGCUCAGAUUGAACGCUGGCGGCAUGCUUUACACAUGCAAGUCGAACGGCAGCAUAGAGAGCUUGCUCUCUGAUGGCGAGUGGCGAACGGGUGAGUAAUACAUCGGAACGUGUCCGUUUGUGGGGGACAACCACCCGAAAGGGUGGCUAAUACCGCAUAAGACCUGAGGGUGAAAGCCGGGGACCGCAAGGCCUGGCGCGAACGGAGCGGCCGAUGACUGAUUAGCUGGUUGGCGGGGUAAAGGCCCACCAAGGCGACGAUCAGUAGCUGGUCUGAGAGGACGACCAGCCACACUGGAACUGAGACACGGUCCAGACUCCUACGGGAGGCAGCAGUGGGGAAUUUUGGACAAUGGGGGCAACCCUGAUCCAGCCAUGCCGCGUGCGGGAAGAAGGCCUUCGGGUUGUAAACCGCUUUUGUCAGGGACGAAAAGGUGCGGGUUAAGAGCUAGCACUGAUGACGGUACCUGAAGAAUAAGCACCGGCUAACUACGUGCCAGCAGCCGCGGUAAUACGUAGGGUGCGAGCGUUAAUCGGAAUUACUGGGCGUAAAGCGUGCGCAGGCGGUUGGGUAAGACAGAUGUGAAAUCCCCGGGCUUAACCUGGGAACUGCAUUUGUGACUGUCCGACUGGAGUAUGUCAGAGGGGGGUGGAAUUCCAAGUGUAGCAGUGAAAUGCGUAGAUAUUUGGAAGAACACCGAUGGCGAAGGCAGCCCCCUGGGGCAAAACUGACGCUCAUGCACGAAAGCGUGGGGAGCAAACAGGAUUAGAUACCCUGGUAGUCCACGCCCUAAACGAUGUCUACUGGUUGUUGGAGGGUAAAACCUUCAGUAACGAAGCUAACGCGUGAAGUAGACCGCCUGGGGAGUACGGUCGCAAGAUUAAAACUCAAAGGAAUUGACGGGGACCCGCACAAGCGGUGGAUGAUGUGGAUUAAUUCGAUGCAACGCGAAAAACCUUACCUAGCCUUGACAUGUCAGGAACGCCCCGGAGAUGGGGCGGUGCCCGCAAGGGAACCUGAGCACAGGUGCUGCAUGGCUGUCGUCAGCUCGUGUCGUGAGAU